GUUUUAUUAAACUGUAUUUCUCGGUCUGUGAUAAUUAGAUUACCCAUUGUGUAAGGUAAUUGUAUCACAGGCAGAGAGGAGGAUUUUGUGUGGGAGUGUCUAAGUGUAUUGUACGUGUUUAUUGGUUGUUUUCCAAAUCCCUGUGGGUGGUACUAAUGUGUAUAUAAGAACAAUAAACCCACAGCUUUGGCAGUUCUGCUUGACCUCAAAACUAAGUGUCGUCUCG